rnacentral:rRNA from 1 species
UUGGGCCUGGCUGGCCGGUCCGCCUCACCGCGAGUACUGGUCCGGCUGGGCCUUUCCUUCUGGGGAACCUCAUGGCCUUCACUGGCUGUGGGGGGAACCAGGACUUUUACUGUGAAAAAAUUAGAGUGUUCAAAGCAGGCCUUUGCUCGAAUACAUUAGCAUGGAAUAAUAGAAUAGGACGUGCGGUUCUAUUUUGUUGGUUUCUAGGACCGCCGUAAUGAUUAAUAGGGAUAGUCGGGGGCGUCAGUAUUCAGCUGUCAGAGGUGAAAUUCUUGGAUUUGCUGAAGACUAACUACUGCGAAAGCAUUCGCCAAGGAUGUUUUCAUUAAUCAGGGAACGAAAGUUAGGGGAUCGAAGACGAUCAGAUACCGUCGUAGUCUUAACCAUAAACUAUGCCGACUAGGGAUCGGACGGGAUUCUAUGAUGACCCGUUCGGCACCUUACGAGAAAUCAAAGUUUUUGGGUUCUGGGGGGAGUAUGGUCGCAAGGG